rnacentral:misc_RNA from 1 species
GGUGCAUAGAAGUUAAACUUUUGUUCUAAUCAGUUGAUGGUGGUGAUCUUAUCGUGUUAUAUUCUCAUCUACUGGCCUGUUUAUUCGACAAAUGGCUGAGUUCAUUGUCGAUAUAUUUGUCUGGCUCUUUUAAUGAUACAUUUUUGUCCCCCCUGCUUUUGUGGAUUAGCAAGCAAGGAUGCAAAUACAACAAAGAUCUAACUACACUGGUUCUGACC